CGCCCCAUUUAAUACGUUUCUAAAAGCCAAACAUCUGAGUCAGGAGAGACCUUUCUUCUGCCCACACAGCUCUGUUUGUUUACUUCCAAUUACGCAUCAGUGUGUAUUCCAGCCUGUCUUCUAGAAAGAGCCAGUUCUGGCAGAAGCCAAUAAAGACCAUUAUUCCCUAGAAUCCUGAAGCUGCCAGGCUAUUAUCUGCCUUCUGGCAUCCUGCAGUCACCUGUGGCCCCUCUUGCCUGUAAAAUGCUUGCUGCUGUGGCUCAACAGCUCCUCGGGGACAGGGAAGAGCAGGGCGGUCGGCCAACUGCCUUUUACAAGCCAAAUGUGAAACUCGACGUCUCUGGGGAGUGUGUCUGAGCAGACUCUCGGCCUCCCUCCUUAAGGACCCUUGUGAUUAACCGGGCUCACCUGGAAAACCUUUAAUGCCAUGGCCAAGCGUUCCGGUCUCGUCCAUGCUGGCUGAAUCCAGCGCUGUUUCCUCUGCGGGUGCACCCGUGCGUGAGUCGCAGCAAAGCACAGAUGCACUGUGCCUGCGUGACCGCCAGUGACACGCGGGCUUCUAUCAGGCCCGGGACACCUGAGUCCCUUUCUCCUCGUCCGCCGCUCUCAGCUCUGCGGGAUGAGUCCUUCACAGAGCCUUCUCCUCUCUCUUCAACCCCCAGCACUUCCCCACUCCCCCUCUUUCCCGAGGGCCUGCUUCCUAUUCCAUGAGGGAAAUGGGGGCCAUUGACUGCAUGAUGCCCCCAGGAACCGUCAUGCUCCUGUCCCUUUUAGGCCAGGCCUCCACUCCCCCCCACCUCCUCAAGACAUCACCCAGCUCUCACUCCUUCUGCCCCAACUGUUUCCUUUCACCCUAGAUAAUUCUGAUCAGGAUACACACGCAAUCAUUUCUCCUCCCUUAAGAAUAAGGGACACCUGGUGGCUCAGUCGGUUAAGCAUCCGACUCUUCAGCUCACGUCAUGAUCUGUUUGUGAGUUCGAGCCCCGCAUCGGGUUCCAUGCUGGCAGCGUGGAGCCUGCUUCCGAUUCUCCCUCUGUCUCCCUCUCUCUCUCAAAACAAAUAAAUAAAUUCAGAAAAGUAAUAAAGGUUGGUUCUAACAAUCCUGUCUAGCUCUUGCCGCAUUUCUCUUGUUUUCCUUCACAGCAAAACCCCUCAAAGCACCGUGCUCAUCCACUUUCUCCCAUGCCCCUCCCUAGCAUUCUCUCUCCAGCUCACUCCCAUCAGUUUCGACACCCCCAACACCACCCGGUCAAAGCCACCAGUGACUCCCGAGUCACCGUCAAACUCAGCGGCCACCUGCCCAACACCAUCUCCCUGGAUGGGUCAGCCUCGCCAGCCAGCUGAGUAUUCCCCUGUCUUUCCUUUAUGUGGCUUCCACUGGGCACCCCCACUCCCCCCAACAUUGGAAUACCCCCCAGGCUCAGCCCUCAGACCCCUUUUCUAUCUGCACUCAUUUCCUUGGCGAUUGCAUCCAAUUUCAUGGUUUUAAAUACCACUCACGUGCAUUGGACUACCUGGAUCCUGCCCCUGAAUUCCAGACUCAACUACCUACCUGCCUGCUUGACAAACCCCAUUUGGUGUGGCUUCUGGCCUCAGACAGUGAGAAACUGAGGCCCUCGGUCAAGAGCCUCACGGAGAACUGAAUCCUGCCAACAGCUGCUGAUUGUGCCUCACAAGACAUUGAGGGGGCUCUGGCCAUGGCAGACACCUUGAUCCCAGCCCCACGAGAGACUCUGAGCAGGGGAAUCCAGCUGAGCUGUUAAGUUUCGAGUCAAUUUCCUAU